UGGAUCAGUAAGAUGAGCAAAAUCAAGCGUUGUUUUGAGACUGCAGCCAUUGACGCGCAACCUGCUUAAUUUGGAUCACAUGUAGUAGAAGUAGUAACAACCUUUGCUCUUGCACAUUAUAUAUUGGAUAGGUUGUAACAACCUUUGCUCUUGCACAUUAUAUAUUGGAUAGGUUGUUACAUGUGAAUUCUUGAAUAUUUUGGCUUAUUUUCUAUGUCUGCAUCCAAGAACACUGGGAAUCAGACAAUUAAUACUA
rnacentral:lncRNA from 1 species